UACGUAGGGUGCGAGCGUUGUCCGGAAUUACUGGGCGUAAAGAGUUCGUAGGCGGUUUGUCGCGUCGUUCGUGAAAACUUGGGGCUUAACUCCAAGCGUGCGGGUGAUACGGGGCAGACUUGAGUACUACAGGGGAGACUGGAAUUCCUGGUGUAGCGGUGAAAUGCGCAGAUAUCAGGAGGAACACCGGUGGCGAAGGCGGGUCUCUGGGUAGUAACUGACGCUGAGGAACGAAAGCGUGGGUAGCGAACAGG
rnacentral:rRNA from 1 species